CGGCAGGCCCUGUACGAAUAAGGUCUGUGAAUCAUGUCAGGCGGGGAACCGAGCAGCAUUAAGCAGUUCUCUUGUUGCGAUACAGUAAGUCUGUCGUUC
rnacentral:SRP_RNA from 1 species